rnacentral:rRNA from 1 species
UGCAGUCGAACGGUAACAGGCCGCAAGGUGCUGACGAGUGGCGAACGGGUGAGUAAUGCAUCGGAACGUGCCCAGUCGUGGGGGAUAACGCAGCGAAAGCUGCGCUAAUACCGCAUACGAUCUAUGGAUGAAAGCGGGGGACCAUAAGGCCUCGCGCGAUUGGAGCGGCCGAUGUCAGAUUAGGUAGUUGGUGGGGUAAAGGCUCACCAAGCCAACGAUCUGUAGCUGGUCUGAGAGGACGACCAGCCACACUGGGACUGAGACACGGCCCAGACUCCUACGGGAGGCAGCAGUGGGGAAUUUUGGACAAUGGGCGCAAGCCUGAUCCAGCAAUGCCGCGUGCAGGAAGAAGGCCUUCGGGUUGUAAACUGCUUUUGUACGGAACGAAACGGUCUGGGUUAAUACCUCGGGCUAAUGACGGUACCGUAAGAAUAAGCACCGGCUAACUACGUGCCAGCAGCCGCGGUAAUACGUAGGGUGCAAGCGUUAAUCGGAAUUACUGGGCGUAAAGCGUGCGCAGGCGGUUUUGUAAGACAGGCGUGAAAUCCCCGGGCUCAACCUGGGAAUGGCGCUUGUGACUGCAAGGCUGGAGUGCGGCAGAGGGGGAUGGAAUUCCGCGUGUAGCAGUGAAAUGCGUAGAUAUGCGGAGG